ensembl:lncRNA SNHG14 small nucleolar RNA host gene 14
AUUGGUAAGCAUUUUGUCUUGAAAGCACCAACAUUCUUCUUAGGGGGUCAUGACACUCCAAUGACAAUGAGACCCUGGCUGUGCUUGUCAGUCAUGAGACUGGUCACUGGCUGUGAUGCUGGUCUUUGUAAUUGAAUACUGUGGGUUGGCAAGUCCCCAGGUGACAGAAAGAUCAGUGUUCAGUGUCUGCCACAUAUCUCAGGCUUAAGGUCCCUUUUAUAAGUGUGCCUGGAUCGAUGAUGACUUAAAAAAAUGGAAACCUUGGAAAUCUGAACAAAAUGAGUGACCAAGACACUUCUGUGAGCUGAGGUCCAGCACAGGGACCAUACCAGGCAAACCCGUGGAGGGCGUUCAGUUUGGUCAGGAACUGGUACCAAAACGAACCCACUUGCAUAUGUUAGAGCAGAUGAAUUGUACAGAGGCCUAUAUAUCUUCGGGAAUUACAUGACAAUGAUUUAAGUGCAUGGCUGACAGCCUUCAAACACCUAGUAAUCAGGCUUUGGGGUACCAGCGUCAGAGGAGUGAACACUGUAGAAAUGGCUGUGCCAGCACUCGAGUCAUUCACACUAUUUUCGUAGACGCCACAACAUUCUUAGUGAGUAUCAGCAUGUAUAGGUAUAUUAUGUAGUCAAUUAGAAAGAAAUUAUCAGUCUUUGCUUGCUAUUUAUUCUUUCACUAAAAGAAAUAUGUGAAAAUUGAAGAGUGGGUUGUAUUCAUGGGAUUAUCUUAUUACAUGCUGGAAUUUGCUUCCUAACUCAGUCUCAAGGAUUAGAACAGCAUUUGUUUUUCUUUUUCCUGUCACUCAGGGAGCAAUUUUCUAAGCAUUAGAUGAUAGAUUAAAUUAGAUGCUUCAUUAAACAUUUUAAUGUGAAAUAAUGAAAUUUCUAAUUCUAGGGAUUUUAGAUGGAUAUUGUUGGCUAAUAGGAAUAUUCCUUCAUUGAGUCUUUGUAUAUUUUAAGAGAGAUUCUAAUUUUAGUAAUACUCGGGGCCUUUGGCCUUCGAGACCAAAAUCUUGGAAACAUUGAUUUUCUGUACUUACCCUGUUCCAAGCAACAAGCAGAUUUUUUAGUUAUGUGGAUAGUCAAGUGACUAUGGCUAAUUAAUUACAAACUGUUGUCAGGAAUCAUUCAGUUGGGAAGGUUUUGUUUCAAAACUCCUGUAAUGUCCCCUGUGCCUUGCAGAACGGAAGUGAUUUUGGAAUUGCAUGGAAUUCUCACUGCCAUCCCAAAGAAAUGCUGAUCUUGUCACUCUUACCUGUUUCAUUCCCUGGGGGCAGAACAAAAGGACGCACUCCAAAGAUCGGCAUGAACCAAGAACUGGGUUUCAUAUAAAAUAUUUUAUUCUGUCCUCUUGAGAUGUGACAUGAGAAAAGUAUUGAGAAUACUUCUAUCACCUCAUCUUCAAGAAUCCGUAGGAAUUCUCCCAUGGUAAGCAUUUUGUCCUGAAAAUACUGGCAUUCCUCUUAGGAGAUCGUGACACUCCAAUGACCAUGAGACCCUGGCCAUGCUAGUCAGCCAUUGGCCAGUCAUUGACUGUGAUGCCAGUCUCCAUAAUUGAAUGAAUAGUGUGGGUCAGUGUACCCCAAGCUGAUGGAAAGCUGUGUGCUCAGUGUCUGUCACAUAUCCCAGGCUUAAGGUACCUUUUAUAAAUGUACCUGGAUUGACGAUGACUUUAAAAAAAAAAAAUCUCAUUGAAAUCUGAAAAAAA